rnacentral:miRNA from 1 species
UAUUUAGGAAGGCACCAUUCACAU